UACAGAGGGUGCAAACGUUGCUCGGAAUUAUUGGGCGUAAAGCGCGUGUAGGCGGCUCGUUAAGUUGGUCGUGAAAGCCCAUGGCUCAACCAUGGAAGUGCAACCAAAACUGGCGAGCUUGAGUUCUGAAGAGGAUGGCGGAAUUCCCAGUGUAGAGGUGAAAUUCGUAGAUAUUAGGAAGAACACCGGUGGCGAAGGCGGCCAUCUGGCUCGGUACUGACGCUCAGGUUCGAAAGCGUGGGGAGCAAACAGG
rnacentral:rRNA from 1 species